GAUGAACGCUAGCGGCAGGCUAACACAUGCAAGUCGAGGGGUAAGGUUCAGCUUGCUGAAUACACGACCGGCGCACGGGUGAGUAACACGUUUGCAACCUUCCUCUAACUGGAGAAUAGCCCGAAGAAAUUCGGAUUAAUACUCCAUAAAGUCAAUUUAAGGCAUCUUUUAUGGAUUAAAGCUCCGGCGGUUAGAGAUGGGCAUGCGUGCCAUUAGAUAGUUGGUGAGGUAACGGCUCACCAAGUCAACGAUGGCUACGGGGUCUUAAAGGAUGGUCCCGCACACUGGUACUGAGACACGGACCAGACUCCUACGGGAGGCAGCAGUGAGGAAUAUUGGUCAAUGGAGGCAACUCUGAACCAGCCAUGCCGCGUGGAGGAAGAAGGCGUUCUGCGUCGUAAACUUCUUUUUUACGGGAAUAAUGGUUUCUACGUGUAGAGAUUUGAAGGUACCGUACGAAUAAGGACCGGCUAACUCCGUGCCAGCAGCCGCGGUAAUACGGAGGGUCCAGGCGUUAUCCGGAUUUAUUAGGUUUAAAGGGUGCGCAGGCGGGUCUUUAAGUCAGUGGUGAAAGUUUGCAGCUUAACUGUAAAAUUGCCAUAGAUACUGAAGACCUUGAAUGUAGUAGAGGUAGGCGGAAUGUGUAGUGUAGCGGUGAAAUGCUUAGAUAUUACACAGAACACCGAUUGCGAAGGCAGCUUACUAUGCUAUGAUUGACGCUGAGGCACGAAAGCGUGGGGAGCGAACAGGAUUAGAUACCCUGGUAGUCCACGCCGUAAACGAUGAUUACUGGUUGUGCGCGAUACACAGUGCGCGACUGAGGGAAACCAUUAAGUAAUCCACCUGGGGAGUACGUUCGCAAGAAUGAAACUCAAAGGAAUUGACGGGGGCCCGCACAAGCGGAGGAACAUGUGGUUUAAUUCGAUGAUACGCGAGGAACCUUACCUGGGGCUUGACAUGCUUGGAUGCCCAUCUGGAAACAGAGUAGGCUGCCCUUCGGGGUGAAACUUGCACAGGUGCUGCAUGGCUGUCGUCAGCUCGUGUCGUGAGAUGUUGGGUUAAGUCCCGUAACGAGCGAAACCCUUAUCGUUAGUUGCCAGCGCGUAAUGGCGGGAACUCUAGCGAGACUGCCGGUGUUAAACCGGAGGAAGGCGGGGAUGACGUCAAGUCCUCAUGGCCUUUAUGCCCAGGGCUGCAAACGUGCUACAAUGGUAGGUACAAACCGACGCAAAACCGUGAGGUCAAGCAAAUCGGAAAAAGCCAGCCCCAGUUCGGAUUGGAGUCUGCAACUCGACUCCAUGAAGUUGGAAUCGCUAGUAAUCGUGUAUCAGCGUGACGCGGUGAAUGUGUUCCUGAGCCU
rnacentral:rRNA from 1 species